AUGAACGCUAGCUACAGGCUUAACACAUGCAAGUCGAGGGGAAACGAUAGAGAAAGCUUGCUUUUUCUAGGCGUCGACCGGCGCACGGGUGAGUAACGCGUAUCCAACCUGCCCACCACUUGGGGAUAACCUUGCGAAAGUAAGACUAAUACCCAAUGAUAUCUCUAGAAGACAUCUGAAAGGGAUUAAAGAUUUAUCGGUGAUGGAUGGGGAUGCGUCUGAUUAGCUUGUUGGCGGGGUAACGGCCCACCAAGGCGACGAUCAGUAGGGGUUCUGAGAGGAAGGUCCCCCACAUUGGAACUGAGACACGGUCCAAACUCCUACGGGAGGCAGCAGUGAGGAAUAUUGGUCAAUGGGCGAGAGCCUGAACCAGCCAAGUAGCGUGCAGGAUGACGGCCCUAUGGGUUGUAAACUGCUUUUAUAAGGGAAUAAAGUGAGUCUCGUGAGACUUUUUGCAUGUACCUUAUGAAUAAGGACCGGCUAAUUCCGUGCCAGCAGCCGCGGUAAUACGGAAGGUCCGGGCGUUAUCCGGAUUUAUUGGGUUUAAAGGGAGCGUAGGCCGGAGAUUAAGCGUGUUGUGAAAUGUAGAUGCUCAACAUCUGCACUGCAGCGCGAACUGGUUUCCUUGAGUACGCACAAAGUGGGCGGAAUUCGUGGUGUAGCGGUGAAAUGCUUAGAUAUCACGAAGAACUCCGAUUGCGAAGGCAGCUCACUGGAGCGCAACUGACGCUGAAGCUCGAAAGUGCGGGUAUCGAACAGGAUUAGAUACCCUGGUAGUCCGCACGGUAAACGAUGGAUGCCCGCUGUUGGUCUGAAUAGGUCAGCGGCCAAGCGAAAGCAUUAAGCAUCCCACCUGGGGAGUACGCCGGCAACGGUGAAACUCAAAGGAAUUGACGG
rnacentral:rRNA from 1 species